ACUUUGUUAGAUCAGUGGAUAGAUAAUCUGGCUACGUACGAAUCAGGGGGUCGCAGGUUCAAUCCCUGCACGGCUCG